rnacentral:rRNA from 1 species
UACGUAGGGUGCAAGCGUUAAUCGGAAUUACUGGGCGUAAAGCGUGCGCAGGCGGUUUUGUAAGUCUGUCGUGAAAUCCCCGGGCUCAACCUGGGAAUUGCGAUGGAGACUGCAAGGCUAGAAUCUGGCAGAGGGGGGUAGAAUUCCACGUGUAGCAGUGAAAUGCGUAGAGAUGUGGAGGAACACCGAUGGCGAAGGCAGCCCCCUGGGUCAAGACUGACGCUCAUGCACGAAAGCGUGGGGAGCAAACAGGAUUAGAAACCCGUUAGUA